rnacentral:rRNA from 1 species
GACGAAGGAUGCAAGCGUUAUCCGGAUUCAUUGGGUUUAAAGGGUGUGUAGGCGGUCUUAUAAGUCAGUGGUGAAAUCUCUCAGCUUAACUGAGAAACUGCCAUUGAUACUGUAGGACUUGAGUACAGAUGAUGUUGGCGGAAUAUGACAUGUAGCGGUGAAAUGCAUAGAUAUGUCAUAGAACACCGAUUGCGAAGGCAGCUGACUAAACUGUAACUGACGCUGAGGCACGAAAGUGUGGGGAUCAAACAGG